GAGCGCAUAGCUCAGUUGGUUAGAGCGCAGUCCUGAUAAGACUGAGGUCCCUAGUUCGAUUCUAGGUGCGCUCACCA
rnacentral:tRNA from 1 species